AAGCCAGGAGAAGGGGCGCCUAGACUAAGAUGGGGUGAUCUAGAGAAGAUGAGCGUGGUCCCUGCUCCAGGAUGCCAUUCAAAUUCGUGAAGGGUUCCAUACUUUU
rnacentral:snRNA from 1 species